rnacentral:lncRNA from 10 species
CAUUUAAUAAGGAAUUGGUCAAUCAUGCAAUAUACGCGUGGGGCUAACCUCCCGCCUCAGAACUUUUCAGGGACUGGGCCUUCACUCAAGAAAUUUCCCAGGCAGCUGUCUUGAAAACUGAGUUCAGGGUGCCUCUAAGCUAUCUCAGUGCCAGGUGGUGGCUGGAGGAGAGGUGAUAUUUAAAAAAAAACUAGGUCACAGUAAAUUGAACCAAGGAAGACUCAGUGUCUAAAUGGUAAAUAAAUAAUAAACUGGGGCCAUGGAUGAGUAAAAAACUUACCCUAACAGAUAAACCAUCCAUGAUUAGGUCAAUUGCUUAGUUUACUCUAUUUGGUUAAUUGCAUAUUUAUCAUACAACUACAAUGCAAACAUUGAGAUUGGUCCAGAGCUAGAACCCCUGCCCUCCAACAGAGGACAUAAGUUCCUAGGCAACUACCUACACCAAAUUUGUUUUCCUUAUAGAUAAUGUAAACCAAAAAUAAAAUUCUAAGUACCCCAGCCAACUGAAUGGACCUCUCCA